ensembl:misc_RNA
UCUCCGCUGAGCCCAGCGCCUUCGCCCGGGUGAGGCGCUGCGCUGUCAGCGGCCAUGGUG